rnacentral:rRNA from 1 species
AAGUACAACUUGACCAAGCACCCUUAUAUGACCCAGAUAUUUGAAAUCAGGAGGAAGUGAGCUAAGCCGUACUUUAAGGGUUUUUUCUGCGCGAAGAUGACACAUACACAGCGCAGCGAGAGAGCGAAUCACAUGCUGAAGACUUACAUGCCUCCAGCAAGCCCGAUGCAUGUUUUCUUGAAGUAGUACAUGAGGCUACAAUUUGACAGUGAGCGGGAGGAAAGCUACGAGGAGAAGAGGAUGAUGAUCGUAAGUUUUCUUCGCUAUUUUUCAUAUUUACUUUCUUAA